rnacentral:lncRNA from 1 species
CAAAACCAAACCAACGGAACAACUAACGUUAAUUCUUUCUAAUCUCUACAUCAAGGAGGGUUUACUGUGAUGUAGGUACUACGAAGUAUGAGCACUUACUGUUAAGUAAAACACAGUGUGACAGAUACUUACAUCAGAUUGACAUUGGUACGACGAAACAUAACAAUGUCAAUCAUAUGUUUUUGUAAUUGAAUCAUAUGUUUGUUUGUUUUUUUUUUUUUUUUUUUUAGAUAUGGCAUUGGAUUAAUCAUUAAUGGAUAUCUUUGCUUUUCAUACAGGUAUUGCAGUCACUGCUCAUAGUUCAUUCUCAACCAAGGGUACUUAUUGGUUUAGGUUUAUGUAAUUUUAUAUUAUUUCAAUAAAAAUAUACUUAAUUUUGGGAGCUUUUUGCAAUUUACAGAUGAAAAUCGGCAUCCAUUUGAUUUUAUUCCAAGAUUGUUGACUACCUCACUAUACAAUGAAUGGGGUCAGCCUCUACCUGAAAUGAGGGUUCUAGGUUCUAUUGUUAAUAAGGUAUAUGUCAUUUUUUAGAUUUGAAUUGUAUAUAUGUGCCUGAAAUUGACAAUGAUUGUGUGAAUAUAUGUUUUUUUUUUAGGACUAUGCAACAAAGACAUCUUUGAGAAUGAUCAUAAGCUGGGGAUGGAAAGAAGUUACACGGUGUUUAGAUUGAAUUUUGGUGUGGCUGUCUUUCCUACUACUUGCUGCAGGUUAGGUUUAGUUACUUCUCAAAAACCUUUUUUUUUUUUUUGUUGAUUGUCCAAUCUCUGUAAAGUAUUGGUUGUUGUUUUUUUGAGCUCAUUAGGUGCUUGGAUUUGAUCAGUAGUGUAACGCAUUUUUAACUUCUGAUCUAUAUACAUACAGCUUCACAUGGUUGCCUAGAAACUUUAUUGUGUUGGAAUCAAACGAUUUAAUUUACCACAAUAAUGUGCUCCCAUUUAAAUUGACUUGCGAGUCAUUACAUCUUUGGCUUCAAGUCAGAGAUAUCCAUAAACACACACUGCUGAUUCCCAAAAGCGCAAUAUAAUGAUAGCUUCCAACAUACCUAACACAACACUCCACUGUCAAGGUAUAGAAAUCUUUAAACUUGCAUGCAUCCAUUUUCUUUUUGUCUUCAUUGAACUCUUUUUUAGCUAUUUACUCUUUAGAUAUCCUUCUGACCUAUGCAUAAUGUUUAUGAACACUGGAGUCCAUAAUUUAUUAUAAGUUCACAAAUCUGAACAAAAGAGAUGGAGACCUCAAAUCAAUGAGGCUAUGCAUGAGAGAGAGUUGGAUAUCCAAAAUACUAUUGAUUUGAUUGUUGUGAGGAUAGUUUACCUGUAAGUUAGCAUGAUAAUUGCACCCAUAUUUUUUAGGUUUGAGUAGAGAAACAAAAACUAACAUUAUUAGAUUCCUCAAAGCACACUUAAUUAUUUACAUUGUCUUACAAGUGAAUGAGGACCUUGACGAAGAAGUGAUGAAGUCCACCUAACAUAGAUCUUGGUUUGCCGAAAGUGUAUUAGUAGAUGAUAGUCCUUCCCAAGAACUAACAGGGAAGGAGUAGUAGAUAACAUGUGGCGUAUUCUAUGUUCCCAAGAAUUAACGUUUGAUUUCAACAAACAACAGAGCAGGUUAAAGCGUUUGACGGAAGUGUUUUUUAUUUCAACAAAUAGUAAAGCAGGUUCAAACAUUGGGUUUGCGGAUUUCAUGGCAAGAUGUAAUGACUACAUCACAGAUUCUCAGUAGGUUGUUCAAUUCAGCAGAAUCUACAAGGUACACCAGCAUUAGCAUGGGAAAGAAGUAAAUGUACAAAGGAUCAGCACAAUGACAGGUUUUGGCAGCAGCAGUUCAGUCUGCAGCAGGGUAGGGACUGGGUCAGAUAUAAGACUUGGUUUUUAUUGUCAGAUUCUAUCUAUUAUCAGAUUGUAUGUUUGUUUUGCAGUUUCUUGAUCACUUGGCGAGCCACUGUACAUGGUCACCAGGAGUGUAAUAUUUUGAUAGGAAACUAACAAUAUUUCUGAUUUAUAGAAAAAGGAAGUUGCUCAUGUUGUCGCGUGUUUAUGGUUAAGUAUUGUUUUAUAUAUUUAAUUUAGCUAAGACCUUUAUAAUAAAUUUUGUUUUUUCUCAAAA